rnacentral:rRNA from 2 species
UGGGGGAUAUUGCACAAUGGGCGAAAGCCUGAUGCAGCGACGCCGCGUGGGGGAUGAAGGCUUUCGGGUUGUAAACCUCUUUCGCUAUCGAACAAGGCCCGCUUAGGGUGGGUUGAGGGUAGGUGGAGAAGAAGCGCCGGCUAACUACGUGCCAGCAGCCGCGGUAAUACGUAGGGCGCGAGCGUUAUCCGGAAUUAUUGGGCGUAAAGGGCUUGUAGGCGGCUUGUUGCGCCUGCUGUGAAAACGCGGGGCUUAACUUCGCGCGUGCAGUGGGUACGGGCAGGCUUGAGUGUGGUAGGGGUGACUGGAAUUCCAGGUGUAGCGGUGGAAUGCGCAGAUAUCUGGAGGAACACCGAUGGCGAAGGCAGGUCACUGGGCCAUUACUGACGCUGAGGAGCGAAAGCAUGGGUAGCGAACAGG